CAGUCGCCGCGGGAAAACGGAGAGGGCUAGCGUUGUUCGGAAUUACUGGGCGUAAAGCGCACGUAGGCGGCUUUGUAAGUUAGAGGUGAAAGCCCGGAGCUCAACUCCGGAAUUGCCUUUAAGACUGCAGAGCUAGCAGGUGAGAGAGGUGAGUGGAAUUCCGAGUGUAGAGGUGAAAUUCGUAGAUAUUCGGAAGAACACCAGUGGCGAAGGCGACUACCUGGUCUGGCAUUGACGCUCAUGUGCGAAAGCGUGGGGAGCAAACAGGAUUAGAUACCCCCGUAGUCCCUGUCUCUUAUAC
rnacentral:rRNA from 1 species